rnacentral:rRNA from 1 species
GGGGAAUAUUGCACAAUGGGCGAAAGCCUGAUGCAGCAACGCCGCGUGGAGGAUGAAGGCCUUCGGGUUGUAAACUCUUGUCUUCUGGGACGAUAAUGACGGUACCAGAGGAGGAAGCCACGGCUAACUACGUGCCAGCAGCCGCGGUGAUACGUAGGUGGCGAGCGUUGUCCGGAAUUACUGGGCGUAAAGGGCGUGUAGGCGGUUUUCUAAGUCAGACGUGAAAACUCCGGGCUUAACCCGGAACCUGCGUUUGAAACUGGGAGACUCGAGGACCGGAGAGGGUAGUGGAAUUCCCAGUGUAGCGGUGAAAUGCGUAGAUAUUGGGAGGAACACCAGUGGCGAAGGCGACUACCUGGACGGCACCUGACGCUGAGGCGCGAAAGCUAGGGGAGCAAAC